rnacentral:lncRNA from 1 species
CUUAAAACAAAUCAUUCAACACGUUUUGACAUCUAAUUUAUCCAUGUCAAGCUUCAUGCAUUUACACUAGUCACACAGGCUUCACAACUGAUACUCACACCCAUGCACACUUGGGUAUAUCUAAUAUUGGGAAAGAAAGACCACGCCAUUUUGUUGGUUUAGUCCAAACACCACUUCCUCCAAACAUGCUAACUGUUCCUCGCUGUUCUUUAUCCUCAUUGACCCCACUUUCUCUACUGAAAAUGAAAUUAUAACAGAAUUAUAUGCUCAUCAAGACCUUCAAAAUAUUGGGUCCUUUCUUCUUCAACUUGUCUUCUUCAGCUAGACUCAAGCCAGCACAACUAUUGCACAACCAACAAAAAUCACCUAAACCCCCCCUCCCCCCAACAAAGAAACCACCACUACCACCACCACAACGAGCAUCAAAACCACCACCAUACCUCAAUGCCACCAUUGUUGAAAACUAUAGCAGUCUCAAACCACUACUACCAGCACCACAGGCAACAUCAACACCACCACACCCCGACGCCAUCCCUAUUGAAAACUGUAGCAGCCCCAAACCACCACAACCACGACCAUAAGUAGCAUCAACACCACCACCACAACAUUCCCACUUCGCCACUACUAAAAACCACAUUAGCAUGAAAAUCAUCUGCCGUUUAAAGAUCUUCGAAGAAUUUGAAAGAUUUGGUCAUUGGAACCAUAGUGAAGGCAUCAGUUAUAGUUAGGGCU